CUUCAAUUUGUCUGUCCCUGUCUGUCUCUCUCAUUAAUUUUUUAUGGAAAUCAAAGACUAAUUCUGUCUCUCUGCUUGUAACCACAUUCAAAACAUGCUCAUGACUCAGUAAUCUGCUUAUGAACGUUGCUGUUCUCUGCAGUAACUCUGCAGACACCCACAUUUGGGGCGGUCUGAAUGUUCACACAGCUUGCAGUUGCCAACACAAUUUUCUAUUCCUUGCUGUUUUUGUCAUUUCAGAAUCUCCCUUCCAUUUUGAAAGCUAUCAGGGUGAGCAGGAAACUCAUCAAGUCAAAGUCAGAAGUCACAAGAAGCUAUUCACCACACUGCAAAACCCUGCUAGGCAGGGAUUUGCUGAAGAGAGGUGUCCAUGAGGACGUGCAAGUGGGUCAGAAUGACAAGUUUCUUCAAGCUGAAUUGCAUCAUUUUUUAAAAAUUACCUUCUGGAGAAAGUCUAAGGACAAAAACACACCUCUGCUAGCUAAGCAAAACUCUCCUAAAAGUUCUUGUGCAGAAUGAACUCUACUUCUGAUUAUUUACCAUUUUUUUGUUUUAUUUUGCCAACCACAGUAUUUCCAUAUCAAUCUAGAGCAUGCUCAUUUUAGCCCUUAAAACUGGGUCAACACACCCUGGAAAUUCACACCAAACUGCAGUUCCUGAGCACAGACAGGCAGAGUUGUCAAAAUAUUCUCAUCACUGAGUAAAUUUGUGCUUAGAGCAAAACCAACAGCCUGGAAAACACAAGUGCCCUGCAAGCUAUCAAUUAAGCCUUACAUCAGGAUAAACUUGUGUCAAGAGGAAAUUAUUUCCAUUUUACCUGGAGAGAUCCAGCUCUGCUCUGACAUACAGACAAGGACAGCUCAGGGAAGAGUCCACUUGCCUAAAGAAAGGGCAAAUCCUUGCUGUGCUGUUUGAUAAGGUGCUACAGGGAGCUCCUGUACCCUCAGUGGGGUAUGAUUUAACCUGAGCAUUUUCUGAGAUUUCAAAGCAUUCCCAUUCCUCAUCAAAAUGAAAGAAAAAUGCUUUCAGGACGUGCUUUUUGCAAAAGCCACAAAGUGUCCCCAGAGGAACCCAGCACUUCAUGACUGGGGCAGGAAUUUGGUGGCUGAGCUUUGCACACAAAGCCCUGGUGUCAGGGAGGUGCAGUGGGGAGAUGAAGCAGCUCUGCACAACAACGUGGAUGACAGAAAAUUCACCUUCCUACAACUCCUUUUCCCCCAGCUGGUCUCUCCUUGCUUGCAGCUUUCUGGGCCCGUGAACCCUUUAACUCAGAAUAACAAGAUGAAUCAAAAAUACUG
rnacentral:lncRNA from 1 species